AUACGUAGGGGGCGAGCGUUGUCCGGAAUGAUUGGGCGUAAAGGGCGCGUAGGCGGCCCGGUAAGUCUGGAGUGAAAGUCCUGCUUUUAAGGUGGGAAUUGCUUUGGAUACUGUCGGGCUUGAGUGCAGGAGAGGUGAGUGGAAUUCCCAGUGUAGCGGUGAAAUGCGUAGAGAUUGGGAGGAACACCAGUGGCGAAGGCGACUUACUGGACUGUAACUGACGCUGAGGCGCGAAAGUGUGGGGAGCAAACAGGAUUAGAUACCCUGGUAGUCCACACUGUAAACGAUGAAUGCUAGGUGUAGGGGGUAUCGACCCCUUCUGUGCCGCAGUUAACACAAUAAGCAUUCCGCCUGGGGAGUACGGCCGCAAGGUUGAAACUCAAAUGAAUUGACGGGG
rnacentral:rRNA from 1 species